rnacentral:rRNA from 1 species
CAGUCGCCGCGGGAAUACAGAGGGUGCGAGCGUUAAUCGGAUUUACUGGGCGUAAAGCGUGCGUAGGCGGCUUUUUAAGUCGGAUGUGAAAUCCCUGAGCUUAACUUAGGAAUUGCAUUCGAUACUGGGAAGCUAGAGUAUGGGAGAGGAUGGUAGAAUUCCAGGUGUAGCGGUGAAAUGCGUAGAGAUCUGGAGGAAUACCAAUGGCGAAGGCAGCCAUCUGGCCUAAUACUGACGCUGAGGUACGAAAGCAUGGGGAGCAAACAGGAUUAGAUACCCCCGUAGUCCCUGUCUCUUAUAC